rnacentral:pre_miRNA from 1 species
AAAGUACUCCCUCCGUCCCAAAAUUCUUGUCUUAGAUUUGUCUAGAUACGGAUGUAUCUAAGACAAGAAAUUUGGGACAGAGGGAGUAGUUG